GUCCUACGGGACGCAGCAGUGGGGAAUAUUGGGCAAUGGGCGCAAGCCUGACCCAGCAACGCCGCGUGAAGGAAGAAGGCUUUCGGGUUGUAAACCUCUUUUAAGAGGGAAGAGAAGAAGACGGUACCUCUUGAAUAAGCCACGGCUAACUACGUGCCAGCAGCCGCGGUAAUACGUAGGUGGCAAGCGUUGUCCGGAUUUAUUGGGUUUAAAGGGUGCGUAGGCGGAUUUUUAAGUCAGCGGUAAAAUGUCCGGGCUCAACCCGGGCCGGCCGUUGAAACUGGGGAUCUUGAGUGGGCGAGAAG
rnacentral:rRNA from 1 species